UCCUCCGUGGCGCAAUUGGCUAGCGCGUCGUAAGUCUGCCUACUAAUCAGGAGGUUGACAGUUCAAGCCUGUCCGGGGGAG
rnacentral:tRNA from 1 species